rnacentral:lncRNA from 1 species
GGCAGCUUGACCCAGCUGCUGAUGCUUGGAGGAAGUCCAGGCCAACAGGCAGAGUUUAAUAGCCAAGAGAGAUGCAAGAGAACAGGCCAAUAGUCAAUUUCAGACGGUCUAACAAGAAGUGUCCUCAUGGGGUAGAACAACAGAAGAAAAAAAACUUAGGAAUGGCAGAUACAUGGAUGUCCAAGCAGGCAAGAGCCACCAUCGAUAUCCUUCAGCAAGGACUGUGGCUAUCAUCAUGGGACUCAAGCUCAGAUUUUUACUCUACAGAAGGAAGAUUAGCACUUGCCAGCCAGGGACUGGGAUAAGAGGCAAAAAGUCGAUUGGAAGAGACAUGGUUCAGCAAACGGGCCCAAGCCAGAGGUUGAAUCAGUUAUCUGCACAAGCAUUUUGGCCGAGGGUUCAAACGCUGAGCCUCAAGAAGUUAGAAAACACCAGCUCCUGUUUUUGAGCUGGUCUAAUGUUACAGUGUACAUUGGCAUGUUUAUCUCCUGCAGAAUUUUACUGAGCUCCCAUAAGACACUUCCAGGACAUUCCUAAAUCAUGGACUGUGCCCGUGCACCAAGAUUACCUGUAGAGCUGGAGAUAAAUAUAGGUGUCUCACAUUUGGAGACUUGAUUCUGUAGACCUGAGGUUGUGUCUGAGCACUGUAAAGUGAUUCUUAUGAACCAGAGGUAGGAACGCAGUCAAAUUCCAGGUGACAGCCAUGUAGAAAUGAAGAUUCCUGAAAGCUCCAACAAACUGUAUUUGUUCCGAUAAAACAAAGAAGAGAAUCCAAAUCCAGAGAACAUGUCCCUCCCAUGGUAUUAUGUUCCAUAUGCAAAAUUGUGUAGCCCUUCACACCAUUGCAUGUUCUCAGAGAUUUUCCCUCUCAGUGUUUGAAAUCCCAGUGACUGGGAUGUGAUUAAUAUCCAUUGCCGGCUUGGCAGAGGCCCUCCUUAACAGCAGCCCUAAACAAGAAGGCUCUGGCCCCGUGUUGUGUGCAAUUUCAGGGAUCUAUCCUGAGUGUCAACUAAAUUCAUCUUGACCUCAGAACAGAUGUUUCCACUUAAUUUUUCAGAACCAUAGAUGGUAAUCAACUUACAGCAAGUCUUUGACCCAAAUACAGCCACCUGGCUUUCCAAAGCAAACCCAGGAGCAUUUUAGCAAAUCUCUGGGCAGAAAACUGAGAAAAGCGAGAAAUGGAAUGCUUUGUAAAUGCCAGUUAUUAUAGGUGCACAGAAAGAAAACUUGAUUUAGAUCAGAAAGAUUAAAAGAUACAGUCUGUAAUCAAGGACCUUAGAGGCCAAACAGGAUUUGCACAUCAGGAUCCCCUCAGGAGAUAAAGUUCAGACACUCGGAGAUAGUGUUCCUCAGAUUUUAAUAUGCAUACAAACCACGUGCAGCCUCCUAAAAAUACAGAUUCUAAUUCAGUGGGGGGCCUGAGACUCUGCAUUUCUAAAAGUGUCCCAGAUAACCCUGAUGCUGCAGGUCCAAAGGCCAUGUUUUUGGGUAGCAAGAUCCUGUACUGCUGUGGGCCUCUGAGCUGAGCUCCGUAGAUGAAUUAUCAGCUCUGGUCAGGGCAGGGCUGCACCAGAAGCCAUAAGGACUUUAAGGCACAAGAGAAACUUGACCCUCAUCAGGUCAUCCAGGGGACACUGACCUCUUAUCUAUUGAGAUGUGAAGUAAUUUUAUAUCCUGUCUCCCUCUCUUUCUGAUGAGACC